AGAAUCAACGCUGGCGGCGUGCCUAACACAUGCAAGUCGAACGAGAAAGUGGGAGCAAUCCCACGAGUAAAGUGGCGCACGGGUGAGUAACACGUGACUAACCUACCCUUGAGUGGGGGAUAACCUAGGGAAACCUGGGCUAAUACCGCAUAAUACCUACGGGUCAAAGGAGCAAUUCGCUUUAGGAGGGGGUCGCGGCAGAUUAGUUGGUUGGCGGGGUAAUGGCCCACCAAGACAGUGAUCUGUAUCCGGCCUGAGAGGGCGCACGGACACACUGGAACUGAAACACGGUCCAGACUCCUACGGGAGGCAGCAGUGGGGAAUUUGCGCAAUGGGGGAAACCCUGACGCAGCAACGCCGCGUGGAGGAUGAAGCCCCUUGGGGCGUAAACUCCUUUCGAUCGGGAAGAUAAUGACGGUACCGGAAGAAGAAGCCCCGGCUAACUUCGUGCCAGCAGCCGC
rnacentral:rRNA from 1 species